GACGAACGCUGGCGGCGUGCUUAACACAUGCAAGUCGAACGGAAAGGCCCUGCUUUUGUGGGGUGCUCGAGUGGCGAACGGGUGAGUAACACGUGAGUAACCUGCCCUUGUCUUUGGGAUAACUUCAGGAAACUGGGGCUAAUACCGGAUAGGAGCUCCUGCUGCAUGGUGGGGGUUGGAAAGUUUCGGCGGUAGUGGCUGGACUCGCGGCUUAUCAGCUUGUUGGUGGGGUAGUGGCUUACCAAGGCUUUGACGGGUAGCCGGCAUGAGAGGGUGACCGGCCACAUUAGGCCUGAGAGACGGCCCAGACGCCUACGGGAGGCAGCAGUGGGGAAUAUUGCAGAAUGGGCGGGAGCCUGAUGCAACAACGCCGCGUGCGUGAUGACGGCCUUCGAGUUGUAAACCGAUUUGGACUGUGACGAGGAGGGAGUGACGGUAAUGGGUAAAGAAGCACCGGCUAACUACGUG
rnacentral:rRNA from 1 species